CAUAUCUCCAUCAUGCAUUUAGAAUCUCAUGAUACUACAGCAGCGUUUCCCUGGUUUCCUCUAUGUCAUGUCUCCACCAUGCAUUUAUAACCUCAUGAUACUGCAGCAGCGUUUCCCUGGUUUCCUGUGGUGGGGGUGGGGGCUGUCCUGACUGCUGGAGCUCUUCUAGUCAACAUCUACUGCACUCUGAAGAGGAGAUCAACAGGAGGAAGUGAUGCCACAUCAGACACACAGAGUGUCCAUCCUAAUCCUAAACGUAAGA